rnacentral:rRNA from 1 species
UUUUCGGAUCGUAAAGCUCUGUUGUUGGUGAAGAAGGAUAGAGGUAGUAACUGGCCUUUAUUUGACGGUAAUCAACCAGAAAGUCACGGCUAACUACGUGCCAGCAGCCGCGGUAAUACGUAGGUGGCAAGCGUUGUCCGGAUUUAUUGGGCGUAAAGCGAGCGCAGGCGGAAGAAUAAGUCUGAUGUGAAAGCCCUCGGCUUAACCGAGGAACUGCAUCGGAAACUGUUUUUCUUGAGUGCAGAAGAGGAGAGUGGAACUCCAUGUGUAGCGGUGGAAUGCGUAGAUAUAUGGAAGAACACCAGUGGCGAAGGCGGCUCUCUGGUCUGCAACUGACGCUGAGGCUCGAAAGCAUGGGUAGCGAACAGGAUUAGAUACCCUGGUAGUCCAUGCCGUAAACGAUGAGUGCUAAGUGUUGGGAGGUUUCCGCCUCUCAGUGCUGCAGCUAACGCAUUAAGCACUCCGCCUGGGGAGUACGACCGCAAGGUUGAAACUCAAAGGAAUUGACGGGGGCCCGCACAAGCGGUGGAGCAUGUGGUUUAAUUCGAAGCAACGCGAAGAACCUUACCAGGUCUUGACAUCUAGUGCAAUCCGUAGAGAUACGGAGUUCCCUUCGGGGACACUAAGACAGGUGGUGCAUGGCUGUCGUCAGCUCGUGUCGUGAGAUGUUGGGUUAAGUCCCGCAACGAGCGCAACCCUUGUCAUUAGUUGCCAGCAUUAAGUUGGGCACUCUAAUGAGACUGCCGGUGACAAACCGGAGGAAGGUGGGGAUGACGUCAAGUCAUCAUGCCCCUUAUGACCUGGGCUACACACGUGCUACAAUGGACAGUACAACGAGGAGCAAGCCUGCGAAGGCAAGCGAAUCUCUUAAAGCUGUUCUCAGUUCGGACUGCAGUCUGCAACUCGACUGCACGAAGCUGGAAUCGCUAGUAAUCGCGGAUCAGCACGCCGCGGUGAAUACGUUCCCGGGCCUUGUACACACCGCCCGUCACACCAUGGGAGUCUGCAAUGCCCAAAGCCGGUGGCCUAACCUU